rnacentral:rRNA from 1 species
GACGAACGCUGGCGGCGUGCUUAACACAUGCAAGUCGAACGGAAAGGCCCUUCGGGGUACUCGAGUGGCGAACGGGUGAGUAACACGUGGGUGAUCUGCCCUGCACUCUGGGAUAAGCCUGGGAAACUGGGUCUAAUACCGGAUAGGACCACACACUUCAUGGUGAGUGGUGCAAAGCUUUUGCGGUGUGGGAUGAGCCCGCGGCCUAUCAGCUUGUUGGUGGGGUAAUGGCCCACCAAGGCGACGACGGGUAGCCGGCCUGAGAGGGUGACCGGCCACACUGGGACUGAGAUACGGCCCAGACUCCUACGGGAGGCAGCAGUGGGGAAUAUUGCACAAUGGGCGCAAGCCUGAUGCAGCGACGCCGCGUGAGGGAUGACGGCCUUCGGGUUGUAAACCUCUUUCAGUAGGGACGAAGCGAAAGUGACGGUACCUACAGAAGAAGGACCGGCCAACUACGUGCCAGCAGCCGCGGUAAUACGUAGGGUCCGAGCGUUGUCCGGAAUUACUGGGCGUAAAGAGCUCGUAGGUGGUUUGUCGCGUUGUUCGUGAAAACUCACAGCUUAACUGUGGGCGUGCGGGCGAUACGGGCAGACUAGAGUACUGCAGGGGAGACUGGAAUUCCUGGUGUAGCGGUGGAAUGCGCAGAUAUCAGGAGGAACACCGGUGGCGAAGGCGGGUCUCUGGGCAGUAACUGACGCUGAGGAGCGAAAGCGUGGGUAGCGAACAGGAUUAGAUACCCUGGUAGUCCACGCCGUAAACGGUGGGUACUAGGUGUGGGUUUCCUUCCUUGGGAUCCGUGCCGUAGCUAACGCAUUAAGUACCCCGCCUGGGGAGUACGGUCGCAAGACUAAAACUCAAAGGAAUUGACGGGGGCCCGCACAAGCGGCGGAGCAUGUGGAUUAAUUCGAUGCAACGCGAAGAACCUUACCUGGGUUUGACAUGCACAGGACGUACCUAGAGAUAGGUAUUCCCUUGUGGCCUGUGUGCAGGUGGUGCAUGGCUGUCGUCAGCUCGUGUCGUGAGAUGUUGGGUUAAGUCCCGCAACGAGCGCAACCCUUGUCCUAUGUUGCCAGCGGGUAAUGCCGGGGACUCGUAGGAGACUGCCGGGGUCAACUCGGAGGAAGGUGGGGAUGACGUCAAGUCAUCAUGCCCCUUAUGUCCAGGGCUUCACACAUGCUACAAUGGCCAGUACAGAGGGCUGCGAAGCCGCAAGGUGGAGCGAAUCCCUUAAAGCUGGUCUCAGUUCGGAUUGGGGUCUGCAACUCGACCCCAUGAAGUCGGAGUCGCUAGUAAUCGCAGAUCAGCAACGCUGCGGUGAAUACGUUCCCGGGCCUUGUACACACCGCCCGUCACGUCAUGAAAGUCGGUAACACCCGAAGCCAGUGGCCUAACCUUUUGGAGGGAGCUGUCGAAGGUGGGAUCGGCGAUUGGGACGAAG